rnacentral:rRNA from 1 species
UGGGGAAUUUUGGACAAUGGGGGAAACCCUGAUCCAGCCAUCCCGCGUGUGCGAUGAAGGCCUUCGGGUUGUAAAGCAAUUUUGGCAGGAAAGAAACGUCAUGGGUUAAUACCCCGUGAAACUGACGGUACCUGCAGAAUAAGCACCGGCUAACUACGUGCCAGCAGCCGCGGUAAUACGUAGGGUGCAAGCGUUAAUCGGAAUUACUGGGCGUAAAGCGUGCGCAGGCGGUUCGGAAAGAAAGAUGUGAAAUCCCAGAGCUCAACUUUGGAACUGCAUUUUUAACUACCGGGCUAGAGUGUGUCAGAGGGAGGUGGAAUUCCGCGUGUAGCAGUGAAAUGCGUAGAUAUGCGGAGGAACACCGAUGGCGAAGGCAGCCUCCUGGGAUAACACUGACGCUCAUGCACGAAAGCGUGGGGAGCAAACAGG